ensembl:lncRNA
GUUCUCCAUUUCUCUGCUGAAAUAUUGGCCCCUGUAAGGAAAUAGGCACUGUGGAAAGGAAGGAUGUCUUUAUGGUAAAGUCAGUGAGUUAUGAAAAUAUCAUGGUUUUGUAACUUUGCUAUUGGUAUUCCACAUCAUAACAUCAUGGACAAAAGAGAAGAACUACGUAUCCCAGAGGACCUCACGGUCAGAGAAGGAAGAUACAUCACGGAAGAUACGUCAUCUGGUUGCGCGCGGUCUUUUUCACUUUUGCUUGCUGCCAGGGAGAGGAGUGGGUGUGCUUCCAAGCCGUGCGCCUUCAUCAACUUUCCUCUGGCUUAAUAUCAUGAAUGCUGUAUGCUUUGGGAGCUUCUCAAACAUUAUGAGGUAAACUAAUAAGAUGAGAGUAUCUGCUUUUCUCUUUACCUUGUUAUGGCUGAUCAAGCCUCAGGUGUCCAGCUCCAGCAAUGAAAGAACUGUCAGUGUACCUUUCCUGAGCUUUCCUUGUUCCUAUUAGCAAUGAGACUAGAGUCUCACAGAGAAAACACUGUUCUUCCAAAUUCGUAAAUCUGGCUUAAACUGGAAGGCUUAUUCAGGGAUUAAUUCUACCUCAGUGCUUGCAUAGGAUCUAAUAUAGCAAUGGCCAAGAUGAGGUACUGGGACUUACUGAAAAGCAAAUUAAAUAAAUAAAAAGGCUAGACUUGUCACUCUGCAAAGAUUGUUAUCAGUAAAUAGUAUGAAUCCUGGUGGCUCUACUGUGACGUGAAAUGUGAAAAAACACACAGCAAUCAGUGGCUGUGUACUUUCAGGAAGGUGUAGACUUUUCCAUCUCUAGGUUUUGCAAAAGCUACAUUUGAAAUGCAGCACUUUCGCUCAGCAGAAUCAGCCACACAAACUUUCCAAGCCUUCAAAUCAAUGCUGCCUUCACCUUAGUAGGUAUGAAGACCAUCUAAAGAACCUGAAGGUGCACAAAUCCAUAGGACCCAACAAGAACUAUCCAUGAGUUAUGAGGGAAGUGGCUGAAGAUGCCAAGCUGCUAUUCAUCAUAUUUGAAAGGUCAUGGCAGUCUAGUGAAGUUCCCACCAACUGGAAAAGGGGAAACAUAAUCCCCAUUUUCAAGAAGGAAAAAAAGAAGAUCCAGGGAGCUAGAGGCCAGUCAGUCUCACCACUGUGCCUGGCAAGAUCAUGAAACAGAUCCUCCUGAAGGCUCUACUAAGGCACAUGGGAAAUAAAGACAAGGUGACUCGUGGUAACCAACGUGACUUCACCAAGGAUAAGUCAUGCCUGACAGACAUGGUGGCCUUUUAUGAUGGAGUUACAGCAUCAAUGUAUAAAGGAAAAGUAAAUGAUGUCAUCUACCUGGACUUGUGCAAAGCAUUUGACACUGUCCCACACAACAUCCUGGUCAUCAAAUUGGAAGAAAAUAAAUUUGAUGGAUGGACUACUCACUGAAUAAGGGAUUGGCUGGAUGGUUGCACUCAGAAAGUUGUGGUCAAUAGCUCAGUUUCCAAGCGGAGAUUGAUGAUGAGAUGAGUGGCGUUCCUCAGGGAUUGGUGUUGGGAUUGGUAUUAUAUAAUAUCUUUGUAGGCAACAUGGACAGUUGGAUUGCACCCUCAGCAAGUUUGCAGGUGACAUCAAGCUGAGUUGUAUAGUUAACACGCUAGAGGGAAGGAAUGCCAUUCAGAGGGACCUGGACAGGCUUGAGAGGUGGGCCCAUGCCAACCUCAUGAAGUUCAAAGAGGUGAAGUCCUACACCUGGGUCAAGGCACUCUCAAGCACAGAUACAGGUUGGGUGGAAAAUGGCUUGAGAGCAGCCCUGAAAAGAAGGAUUUGACUGUGUGAUUGAUGAAAGAUUCAACAAGAGCUGGCAAUGUGCACUUCCAGCCCAGAAGGCCAACUGUAUCCUGGGUUGCAUCAAGAAAAGUAUGACCUGGAAGUCAAAGGAGGUGAUUCUGACGCUCUACUCUGUGGAAAGACCUCACCUAGAGUACUGCAUCUGGUUCUGGAGCUCCCAGCACAAGAAGGACAUGGAGUUCUUUGAGCAGGUUCAGAGGAGGGCCACGAAGAUGAUCAGAGGGCUGGAGCACCUCCUCUACGCUCCAUAGCCUGGAGAAGAGAAGGCUCUGAAGAAGAUUUUGUAGCAGCCUUCCAGUACUUGAAAGGGGCCUACAGGAAAGCUGGGGAGGGACUUUUUAGAAGGGCCAGUAGCAUCAGGAAAAGUGGAAAUAGUUUUAAGCUGGAAGGGUGUGGAUUUAGACUAGAUAUUAGGAAGAAAUUAUUUACUGUGAGGGUGGUGAAGUGCUGGAACAGGUUGCCCAGUGAGGUUGUGAAUGCCCUCUCCUUAGAAACAUUCAAGGUCAGGUUGAAUGGGACUUCAAGCAACCUGGUCCAGACAGAGGUGUCCCUGCCUAUAGCAAGUGUGUUGGAACUAGGUGAUACUAAAGGUCCCUUCCAACCCAAAUCAUUCUAUGAUUCUAUGAUUAAAGCCUAUGAAUUUUAAACUGGAAUUUGGAAUCCUGCCAUUAAAUAAUCUUAAACAAGAUGGUAUGCUAUUUGUUGAAUCAAUGGAGUUUUAAUGUCAGUAGCAUUCUUCUUGUGAAAUAUCUUUGUUUUGUUGCUCUGAGCAGAAAUCAGUUCAAUCUGAAAUUAAGAUGGGAGGAAGCAAAAACCAAAAAAGAGCAUUCUGGUGUAUUUCUUGAUAAUCUACUGUCAAUUACCACUGGUUUUACAUAAAUUAGUGUGUGAAUUGUUAUGCCAGUGCAAAUGUCACAAAGAUGAAAACCAUCAGUUCUCCUUCAUCCUUUUUGUGAAAUAAUUUGUGACCCUCAAUCUCUCCUCCCAGAGGUGUGACCUAUUUCUCUUGUUACUGCAAGGCAGAUUGUCAGUGCCAGUUUUCCAGAGACAGAAGAGGUUCUAUGCACAGUCAGUGUAAAGGGCUGUGCAAAGGAUCCCCCAUUUAACAGUGUAAACUUGUCAGGAAGAAAAGAAGUGGGUACAGGUAACUUAACACCUGAAUUUUGAGCAAUGACUUGUGUAUCCAAAUUGUAUUGGUAACCCUUUCUAUGCAAUUUCCAGGUGCUUAAGGAUGCCCUCGGUACUGUCAACAUCUUCCUGUGGGGAUGACUAGAGGCUAUGAAGCCUCAUUUCAGGAUUUUGCUUACAGUGUUUUAUUGCUGCAGUGGGCUGAAUUAAAUUCCAGCAUCCAUAAUGUGUGGUUUGUAAUGUAAGGGAAAGCAAGUACACUACACUUGUGAGAUAUAACAGGCAUAUUUAAGCAUUUUGAUUUUAAACAUUCAGUCUUUCAUUGGCUAGCUUGAAAAGAGGUUACAGAACUUAUCAUUUCAUACAGAGACUAAGUUUAGAAGUUGAAAGCAUGUUAUAACUUAUCAUAUGUAAUACUUCUCAAAUACUAUGCCAGUAAGCUUGGUUUAAAAACAUAAUAGAACAGAUUCUUAGCAGGAUAAGGUAGCUACAAAUACAGUAGCACAGCUGCAGUAUUCUUGAACGAGCAACAUAGCAACAUACAUAAAUGUCACAAGUUAGUUUGGUUGCGAAGCUUCGCAGCAUUCUUCAAACUGUGAUUACAGUGCAAC